UACGUAGGGUGCAAGCGUUGUCCGGAAUUAUUGGGCGUAAGGAGCUCGUAGGCGGUUCGUCGCGUCGGCUGUGAAAACCCGGAGCUCAACUCCGGGCCUGCAGUCGAUACGGGCGGACUUGAGUGUUGCAGGGGAGACUGGAAUUCCUGGUGUAGCGGUGAAAUGCGUAGAGAUGUGGAGGAACACCAGUGGCGAAGGCGACUCUCUGGUCUGUAACUGACGCUGAGGCGCGAAAGCUAGGGGAGCGAACGGG
rnacentral:rRNA from 1 species